AGAAUUUUAAUGGUGUCAAAUGGCACAAUCUCUCCUCAGACGAGUGCGGGCUGAUAAGUGGAGGGUUGAGCACUCAGGAAGACUGCGCUCCGCUUAAGGAGGAGACGAGGAAGGAAAGGUCGCCUAAUCCACAGGCACUCACCGGUAAGCCACGUGGCCUCGGAAUCGUGGAUUUCAAGGUCUUUGCUGAAGACGUGGUCCACGGUUAUCUUCUUCUUCAGCGCCAGGCUGUCAUCCACAUCUACAGGCCCUACUCGGGGUCAGCAGGAUGACCGAGGUGACGAUGAGCGAACAGAUGAAGAGGAUGACCAGCAAGGCGAUGGCGAUCCCCUUCCAGUUCCUCUGAGGCGCAUUGCUCCCCACCAGCUCCUGACAAACACACAAAACACACAACAGACUGUCAUCAGCGUGCCCUGGUUUUGGCCAUAAAAUCAUGUGUCAUGUACUGUAUAAAACACCACAUCUUUGUUUUGGGGAAACUGAGGACAUCCAAUGUGCAGAAUUUACUGAGGUUCGUACCAGUCUGAUACAUGGCUACAUUCUGCAUCAUUUCUGUACCUGGAAGCUGAUUGUGAUUUGACAGACAUGGCACAUUCACAGUUUUACAGGCCAUGAAAUAUUACAAACUGAUUGCUCAGCUGAGUGGAUCUAGCCUGAUGGCAUGCUGUGGUGCACAUUGUAGUUCACACCUCCAUGCGGCACAAAUUAAACUGUCAACACCAAGCAUUCAUACACAAGAAUGGUUUUAUCUAACUGUUCUUACAGCAGGAUGCUUUAGAGAAUGUUAGAUUUUUUGGUAACAAAUCUCUUAUGAACAAUGAGGGAUUAUUCAUGAGACUCUUAUGAACAAUCACCUACUCUAAUAUUCUGAUGACUCAAUGCAAUCACAAUAAAAAAAACAUUAAUUCA